rnacentral:rRNA from 1 species
UACAGAGGGUGCAAGCGUUAAUCGGAAUUACUGGGCGUAAAGCGUGCGCAGACGGUUGCGUAAGUCAGAUGUGAAAGCCCCGGGCUCAACCUGGGAACUGCAUUUGUGACUGCACAGCUGGAGUGCGGCAGAGGGGGAUGGAAUUCCGCGUGUAGCAGUGAAAUGCGUAGAUAUGCGGAGGAACACCGAUGGCGAAGGCAAUCCCCUGGGCCUGCACUGACGCUCAUGCACGAAAGCGUGGGGAGCAAACAGG